rnacentral:rRNA from 1 species
AUUGAACGCUGGCGGCAGGCCUAACACAUGCAAGUCGAGCGAGCGGCGGACGUGUGAGUAAUGUAUGGGGAUCUGCCCGAUAGAGGGGGAUAACUACUGGAAACGGUUGCUAAUACCGCAUUCUAUCGGAUGAACCCAAGUGGGAUUGGUUAGUAGGUGGGGUAAAGGCUCACCUAGGCGACGAUCUCUAGCUGGUCUGAGAGGAUGAUCAGCCACACUGGGACUGAGACACGGUCCAGACUCCUACGGGAGGCAGCAGUGGGGAAUAUUGGACAAUGGGCGAAAGCCUGAUGCAGCCAUGCCGCGUGUAUGAAGAAGGCCUUAGGGUUGUAAAGUACUUUCAGCGGGGAGGCGUUACCCGCAGAAGAAGCACCGGCUAACUCCGUGCCAGCAGCAGCGGUAAUAC